UGGGGAUUAGGGCUACGUCAUUGAAUCCAUCAAUAGGGUCGCUGGUAACAAUGAGGGGAGAAGUUGGCAAAUAUCAAACCAGCAUGGAAAACUGAACGUUGGUGUCAGUAGCUAUAUUCCUCAAGAAGAUGACACAAUUGUGCUCGAAUUAGCUGAUUCGAGGACAUUUAAAAUAACCAUCAGGAAUAAUUUGCUUGAGCCAAACUUUUGCCACACCAUUACACAAGUCAUUGAAGACCGCAAGACACUGAUUCGUUACCUAGAGUCAGCUGCGAGGAAUCAACAAGGAUUCAGAUUUACAGGAACGUACUUUGGUGACCUGGGUUACUUCAUGAACUCCUUUAAUGGUGUGACUUCUGACUGGGAUAAUGACAGAACAUCUUGGAAAAUGUACAACCAGUAUGGAGAAAUUACAGUCGGCGUCAGUACUUAUAUCCCAAUAGAUAAAGACGAACUUGUAUUUGAGCUAGUUAGAAGUGAGAAAGAAGAGACAUGUGAAAACCAUUAGCGUUUUGAUGUCAGAAUAUCGUGUGCCAUGAGCGUUAUAACAAACUUUAUACAUGUAUCUUAUACUACUGUAAUUCUGUUGUUAGCCUACUAAUACCGCUGGUUAUAUUACAAUGUCAGUGUGCUAACGUCUCAGAGCCCAUCGAGUCAUUGUCAUAUCUUAUAGCUAAUAUAAACAUAUAUGUGAUGAAACAAAACAAUAAAGAUACAAUGAAAGCUAAUAGGUUGGGUACAAGUGCUUCUAACAUUUGCUAACAAAUAGUCUUCCAUUUGAUGUCAACAAGAUGUUAUAUAUAGGAAGGAAGGAGCCUGCAGGUGGUCUACUCUUACGAAAUCAAGUGAUAGUGGUUAUUUAAUUUUUUAACGAAAUGCAUAGUUUUGCUCAUUAUCGUAUUUUAAUCUAACCUUGUGACUUAUAGAAACUCAUACGACCAUAGGCUGUCUUUCAUCGAACAGCAUAAUCCUUUCUUUUUCUCUCAUAUAUCCCAGAACGAUUAUGACGAAUUUUUGUUUAAUAGUAAAGGAAGUACUCUUUGUGUUGCUUAUUUACUUAAUGACAAAACAUUAUGGUGACUUUAAUACAUAUUUGCCAAAAUUCGAAAUGUUAAUUGACAUAUGUACAAUUUAAAAAUAUGCACGAUGAAAUGUUUACUUGACGCGAGGGUUGAAAUAAUAUCAUUUUCAGCUAUGCUGAAUACUUUUAAAAUACUAGUAUUUAAUGUUAACAUGCUAUAUUGUGCUUUAAAUAACACGUAUCAAACAAUUUUGAACAUGUAAUUGUUUAUUAAAAUAUUGACAACAACAAUAUAUAUUACAUGUUAAAAGAUUAAGGACAGCUUGCUGUUGUCAAAAGAUAUUUGUUACUAUAUCCAAUUUGAUACUAUGUUCCAAGUAAUACGAGUAUUUAUUAAAUUCAUUUAUUUUAAUACAUGUACAUGUCAAUACGAUAAAAGAUAAUAAUUAUUUUACGAUUAAGACAUUCGAGAAAAGUGUAAGUACAAUUCGAAUACAAAGCGGAGAUGAUGUCUUUGACCCUCUUAGAAAGGAAUACAAAAGAAUAUAAUAUCGGACUUUCCAUUUAUUAUCUAUGUUUGGUAUUAAUUAUUCCCACUGUUUGAUAUUGUAAACAAAAUUUCAUGUUAUCAUGUUAUCAUUUAACUUGAUUUUUUAUUCAUUUAGUUUUGAAUUUGAGAUUUUGAUGUCUUUCUUUUUGUGUGAACUCUUAAUAAAGUGUUUAAAGUCCUUUUGAA